GACGAACGCUGGCGGCGUGCCUAAUACAUGCAAGUCGAGCGCUGGAGGGUGGCACUUGUUCCAACUGUAUUAGCAGCGGACGGGUGAGUAACGCGUGGGUAAUCUGCCUUUGAGCGGGGGACAACAUUUGGAAACCAAUGCUAAUACCGCAUAAAAAUUUUAAACACAAGUUUUAAGAUUGAAAGAUGCAAUUGCUUCACUCAAAAAUGAUCUCGCGUUUGAUUUGCUAGUUGGGGAGGGAAAGGCCUCACAAGGGGAACGUACAUAACCGACCUGAAAGGGUGGUCGGCCCACUUGGGAAUGAGACCAGGCCCCAAACUCUAAGGGAGGGAGCAGUAGGGAAUCCUCGGCAAUGGAAGAAAGUCUGACCGAGCAACGGCGCGUGAGUGAAGAAGGGUGUCGGAUCGUAAAAACUCGUUUGUAGGGAAGAACGUUGGGGAGAGUUGAAAGCUCAUAAAGUGACGGUAACUACCCAGAAAGGCACGGCUAACUACGUG
rnacentral:rRNA from 1 species